rnacentral:rRNA from 1 species
GAUGAACGCUGGCGGCGUGCCUAAUACAUGCAAGUCGAGCGAACAGAUAAGGAACUUGCUCCUUUGACGUUAGCGGCGGACGGGUGAGUAACACGUGGGUAACCUACCUAUAAGACUGGAAUAACUCCGGGAAACCGGGGCUAAUGCCGGAUAACAUUUAGAACCGCAUGGUUCUAAAGUGAAAGAUGGUUUUGCUAUCACUUAUAGAUGGACCCGCGCCGUAUUAGCUAGUUGGUAAGGUAACGGCUUACCAAGGCAACGAUACGUAGCCGACCUGAGAGGGUGAUCGGCCAAACUGGAACUGGACCACGGUCCAGACUCCUACGGGAGGCAGCGUUAGGGAAUCUUCCGCAUUGGGGGAAAGCCUGACGGGGCAACGCCGCGUGAGGGAUGAAGGUCUUCGGAUCUUAAACCUCUGUUAUUAGGGAAGAACAAAUGUGUAAGUAACUGUGCACGUCUUGACGGUACCUAAUCAGAAAGCCACGGCUAACUACGUG